AUGAUUGUAACCACUGUCUUUGAAUUUUGCUUUUUAACCACCUGCUAUCUGUUUGUUUUGUGGUGGAAAAGGCACGGACACAAUAAUUCCCUCAUACAGGAUGUGAUGCAGCAGCACUUCUGAGAUCUGAGCCUGUGGCUUUCCCCAGGAUCCUAUUUAAUAAGGUGUGUUUAGGGAUUGCAUUUCCUGUGACCACCCUCCCUGGCUGCACUGGUGGCUCAUGCUGCUCUGCUGGAAGGCAUCCCCGUGCCAGGGCUGUGCAGAUCUGGCCCCUGCAGGAAAUAGUUGGAAAGGAGAGGGGAAAGAAAAUGCAGCCCGUCUUGGACACCUUGAAACACAAACAGCAGAGGGGACCUGCCAAGGGGAAGCAUUUCCAUACGCUCUCCUUGUCAGAAGAGCAAGCAGGCUGAAAAAGUUGGAUGCACACAUUUGCCCUUGAAGACCCUCGAGCCCAGCUGGGAGCGGACAGCAGAGACAGGAGGAGGGCGGGCAGGGCUCGGCGGAGCGCGAACCCCGGGACAGCCGGCUCGGGAAACACCUUCGGCUCAGGGCAGAAAGCUGCCAGCAGCGAGCUGGGCUGGCCAGCCUUGCCUUGCCUUGCCUUGCCUUGCCUUGCCUUGCCUUGCCUUGCCUUGCCUUCCCUUCCCUUCCCUUCCCUUCCCUUCCCUUCCCUUCCCUUCCCUUCCCUUCCCUUCCCUUCCCUUCCCUUCCCUUCCCUUCCCUUCCCGGGGCUGCCAGAGGGUUUGUGUUUUCCCAUAUUUGAGGGGCCUGCUCUGCAGUUUUUGAGCUGUAUGCACAGCCCCACAGCACAUCGUGAUUUGGCUGCAAGUUGAGCCGAGUGUACAUUAUCUCGGCAGACUCAUGGUGUGCAUCUCCUCCCCAUCUAAUAUAUCCGAACAUACAGUGAGAGUUUUACAGACAAGAUAAUGUGUUUUGGCUGCAUGAAAUAGUUGUGCUAUUCCUAUAGGAGAAAAAUUUAAUUUUGCUCUGAAUUCCUCUAUAACCAGACAGCUCCCCAUUUAUAUCCUGGGUAAUAAAUCAAAGCAACAUGAAGUCUUGUGCAUGGAACUGAAGUGGUUUCUUAAAGCAAAUUUGGCAGGAAAUAAGUCAUCAUCAUAAAAAGCCAGUUCAUUCCUCAUAUACAAUACACCACUAACUCUUUGCUAAAAUCUGUAACCAGGCACAUGUUUGUGUGAAAGAUAGAGGGAAAUACACAAGCCCUAGCAAUGCUGUGUGAGAUAGGCCAUUUGAUUCUCUUAUCAAAAUCACCCAUAUCUUUGUCAGAGAAAUCACCCUGUCAGUUCCCUGGCUCACAGGUUUGCAGUGCCCAGGUACUCAAACAUCACAAGGGUCAUUAGUUUGACUUCAUAUAAAAAUAAGGUCAUGCUGGUAUCGCAUCUUCCCUCUGUGUUUUUCCUCUUUCUUCUUGCCUCCUCAACUGAUGUUAUUUUUCUCUCAUUUUUUUUCUACUGACUUUCCUUUCUAGUUUCUAUUUCUAUCGUGCAAACAUGCCACGGCAAAGAGAUGUAAGCAAUGCAUAAUAUAUUUGCAGUAAUGUAUGAUUCAUUUACUAGCUUUCAUAAUUAAUGUGGCUGUGUUUUACAUACACAGUACUUCCUGCAUGCAUUUAAUGAUGUGAACGCUCUUCAAAAAUCUAAUAAAAUGUAAUCCGUUAA